rnacentral:rRNA from 1 species
AGCGAACGUUAGCGGCAGGCCUAACACACGCAAGUCGCACGAGAAUCCGGCUACGGCCGGUAGUAAAGUGGCGGACGGGUGAGUAACACGUGGAUAAUCUGCCCUUCGGCGGGGGACAACAGUCCGAAAGGAUUGCUAAUACCGCAUACGUCAGCGAGGUCUUCGGACCUUGUUGGGAAAGAUGGCCUCUUCAUGAAAGCUAUCACCGAAGGAUGAGUCCGCGGCCCAUCAGCUAGUUGGCGGGGUAAUGGCCCACCAAGGCUAAGACGGGUAGCUGGUCUGAGAGGAUGAUCAGCCACACUGGAACUGAGACACGGUCCAGACUCCUACGGGAGGCAGCAGUGGGGAAUAUUGGGCAAUGGGCGCAAGCCUGACCCAGCCAUGCCGCGUGAGUGAUGAAGGCCUUCGGGUCGUAAAGCUCUGUGGGGAGGGAAGAAACCGGACGUGGAUAACACCCACGGCUCUUGACGGUACCUCCUUAGCAAGCACCGGCUAACUCCGUGCCAGCCGCCGCGGUAAUAC